UCCCGCUUAGCUCAGUUGGUAGAGCGCAUCACUAGUACCUGUUCCAAGGGUAAUGAUGAGGUCAGUCGUUCAAAUCGGCUAGUGGGAA